AUGCCAGGACAGUCAGACGGUGUCCCCAGUCUGCAGAAAAAGCCACAGGAGCUGCUGCUGACACAGCUGCUCUGGGCCGGGGGGACUUCAUCCCAACAAGGCACUGCUAUUUUUCUUUCUAAAGACUUCUCUUUGAAAAAUAAAGUGUCAAGCCUAGGUGAGAGAGGCAAGGCGGCAGGAUGCAGCUCUGCCUCACUGCAGGGCUUGCUGGCCGCAGACGCAGACGCCGGGCAGCAUCCUCCUGCAGCAUCCCAGCCCUGCAGCCCAGCAAGGGCUGGCCUCUGGGGACCUCAUCCUGCUUCUGCCCAAAGCUCUGCCUUAGCUCUGGGGUCCCCAGCCCUGGGUGCCCUCUCCCGGCACUGGAGACCCCUGAAUCCCAGUACCUCUCCUAGCUCUGGGGGGUCCCCUGCAUCCUGGUGUCCUCCUGGCUCUGGGGGUUCCCCAGAUCCCGGUACCUUUCCUGGCUCUGGGGGUUCCCCGGAUCCCGGUACCUCUCCUGGCUCUGGGGGUUCCCCGGCUCUCUGUCGGCACUCUCCGAUGCCCUGGUGCCCCAGUGCCCCCCCGGGACACACUGUCGCCCCUUCUCCCCAGCCCCCCCCGGUGCCCGGUGUCCCUGACCGCCUCCGUUCCCCCGGUCCCCCCGGUGCCCCCGGUGCCCCGGUGCCGCUCACCUUGAAGCUCGGCGGGCCGCGCAGGUCGCCGGAGCCCAGGCACAGCAGGAGGAUGCCCAGGAGGCAGCCGAGGGCGAGGAGCAGCAGGACGGCGGCGACCCGGCGGGCCAUGGCGGAGCGGCCGCGGUGCCGGGCGGGCGCUGCCGCGGCUCGGCGGGCGGCGGCGGCAGGUGAGCGGCAGCGGCGGCGGCGGCGGCUCCUGCUGCUGCUGCGGCUGCUCCUCCUCCUCCCCCGCCUCUCCCGGCUGAGUCACCGCCGCCCCGGCCCAGCCGGGCGGGACACCGGGCCCAGCCGAGCCGCGGGGAGCCGGCACCGGGCAUCGCCCCUGCCCUGGGGCUCAGCCCUGUCCUGUCCCUCCCAGGGCAUCAACCCUGCCCUGUCCCUGCCCCAGGGUUCAGCCCUGUCCUGUUCCCCCUGGGCAUUGCCCCUGUCCAGGCUCAGCCCUGUCCUGUCCCCUCCCAGGCAUCACCCCUGGUCCCAGCUCAGCCUCAUCCUGCCCCCGCAGGCAUUGCCCCUGCCCCUGUCUGGACUCAGCCCAGUCCUGCCACCCCCCUGCAGUCAUCACCCCUUCUCUGACCUCAGCCCUGCCCUGCCCCAGGCAGGCAUCACCUACCCUGGACUGAACCCUGUCCUGCCUCUCUGCACAUCAUCCCCGCCCUGA
rnacentral:lncRNA from 1 species